GAGAGCGUAACUCUUGAAAAUGGGCGGGCUCCUUAACGGGCGGGGCCUCAGAUCAAGGAGUGGAAAGUGUUCCAAGAAAGGUCGCGCGUGCGCCAGCUCGGAUUACUGGGCGUGAACGCUGAUCUUGUUUCCCGGGAGAGCGCGGGUGGCUGUGGUGGAAGGAUCUCCGCCUGUACACGCACGAGACCGAACCCAGACCGAGGUCACGGGGCCUCGUGAGCUUCGCUGAUGUGGCCGCGGCCGCGUCCUCGGAUGAGUGGAGAAGGCUGCGCCUCACACAGAAGGCCCUCCACCGGCACAUCAUGCGGAAGACCUGAGGCCCAUCUGAGAGUGUUGAGUGAGGGGCGCGGACACGCGUGCACCGGCGCCCGGGCCGGGACCUAGAGGAGGGCUGAGAUGCAGUACUGGGCUUUCUGAGCCUCAGAUGAAUGUGGGGGCAGAGAUUCAGGGGCGCUUACUCUUUUAUGUCAUUGGAUCCGCGUGACCGUCUGAUCAAGCUUUAUGUUACCCCUUUCUCAGAAGAAUGUUUUUUAAAUGCAUAAGACAAAAACAAGGAAUUACAAAGGAAACUAUAUUUACCAAACCAAAGUUGUCGGAUAUGUUUUUAAAUUGGCGAAUCCCAAGUUAAGACCCUGUGAUCUAAAAGGAAGAAAGAAAGGGUGAGUGGUCUCUUCUUGACCUUGGGAAUGGAGGAAUAUACCGGCGUGAGUUAGUUCAUAUAUGAGAACCUUUAACCAGAGGACUUGGGGGCUAAAACUAUUAAUGGUACUUUAUUGUCUCCCGGGGUUUCCAGUCUUUAGAUCAGCCCUCACCUGCUUGGGACUAAAGGGAUCUAGUUUUGCCAGAGCAAGACAUGCAAGAAUGACCCCAGGAGGUGAAGAAUGAAAGAAUGGCACAGGCCUCCUGGUUGCCACCCAGAAAUGCUCCCUGGAUCUGACCUAUCUUGGAAGUCCCUCCGCAACCCAUUCUUUUACUUUUCUCCUUUAUGGGAGCAUCUUUUGAGAUUCUCAGUGCAACUUCUCGCCUGAAGCCAGAAGCCAGAAUGAGAAGCACAAACAGAUGGAAUUUGAGGGAAUCCCUUUGAUACACCAUCCAGUGGGGUCCUGCAUUUGCUGAAGCCAGCUAUGUUGAGACUAAGCACCAGCAGGUUUCCAAAAGCAAAAACAACUUCCCUGACAUCGUCAACUGAUAUUUCAGCAUUUUUAAAAUUGUUCCAUCAUUACAUCAUCCAUUCUGGAAAAUACCAUUUUUACCAGCAUAUUGUUUGGAUGACAUUUUUAUUACAACCAGCACUGUUGCUUGCCAAUUCUUCAGCCACAACAGUGAAUAGCCCCUGCCUCAGUGAGAAGUUCUUCACCCAGAAGUGAAUUGUGGAAGCAAAACCUAUGGACCCAUCGUCCUGUUGUUGGGAGGCAGAAGAACUGGUCACCUAUGCAAGACCAUGCCAUCUGCUUCUGUCCAAAAUUAAAUAACUAAAUAAGAUUUCUUCCUUGGUUUCCAACAUUAGUAAAAAGAGAGGUGACCUACUCAGUCCUGAGCACUAAGGACGAACUGAAGAGGCCCAUAGCCAGGCAGACCCUCAAGAAGAUUUGAAGACAGAAAAUUCUUGCCUUUUGGGAAUCCUAAGAAAGACUGAGAGGGAGAUACACUAGUAGUGAGUUUGUAUGCCAACUCUAAAAGUCCCAGAAUUUCAAGCCUCUAAACCUGUUCUCAUCUCUUGGAACAAGAAAACAGAGGUAUGGGACCUAGAAGCCCAGAAUACUGAGGAGAAAAGGAAUUAUCCAAGAACCUGUAAAGAUGAAUAUCAGUCUGCUCUUCUGCUUUCCUUCCCUUCUCCCCACUGAGAAAGCAGAAAGAAAAAAAAUACAUACUCAAAACUGCUCUGCCAAACUUAUAUAGUUAAGCAAAACAAAAUUUCUCAUUGGCCCUACCUAAAAAAGUAUGUCUCAAUUUGUGCUCUGAGUUCAUCACCUCUCUCAGGAAGUAGAAAGCACGUUUCUUCAAGAAUGCCCAAGAAUUGUGAUUGGUCAUUGUGUUGGUCAGAGUUUCCAAGUUUGGAUGAAUUUGUGGAGUAGAGGCUUCCCAUGACUGCCAUAUUGGCUCUAACCUUCUCAAAUCAUUCUCAAAAAAACCCCACAUUUCUUAUACCUUGCUCUAAGAACACAAAUGCCUUGUCACAUUUUCUUAGAGGUAGAAGGAAUCUCUGAAAUUAUCUAGUCAAAUCCAUGUUUGAACAGUAAUUCCUUCAUCUUACCCAUCCUCAUCCAAGUUUUUUUAACAGCUCUUGCUACUUUUACGAUUUUUCAUCGACUUACCUCAAACUGGGAUCUUGGGAAUAUUUCUCUGAAGGCUGUUUCUAACAGACAUAUAUUAAUCCUUAUUCUCUACAAGUACUAUUGUGAAUAUUUGCUACCAUUAUUUUUUUUAAUUGCUCCAGAGUUUACUGAUGCUUCAUUUUUUAGCUUGCUUUUCAUUAUAACUCUCCUUAUCAAUUCUGCAGUUCUUCAGAGCCAAGUGUUAAAGCUGAAUUUCAACCAUAAAGCUAAUAAACAAAAAAUUCUUUUAUGGGAUCCUUUUUCUCAUUCUAUCUGUGGCCCUAUGCAUAUGAUCAUUAAGUGUAGAAAUUGGAAGGGACUUUAGAAAGUCCAAGACCACACAGAUUAAUGAUAAAGAUGGGUUUCAAACUGAGUCCUCUGAUUCCAAACCAAAUAUCCUUUCACAAUUCAUACUCGUAUCUGCAAAGCCUCAGUUUUGUCCUCAGUUUCUCCUUUCUUGGAUAAAAGUGCCUCCUACUUUUUGGUAAAGAGGUGGUGUAAUGGAACAUUUUCUGACAAUAUUAAUGUGUGAAUUUAUUUUGUUAGAGUGUACCUAUUUUUUUACAAGGGAAGGCUUUUGUGGAAGAGUUGAAGAGAGUUGUAGAUUAGGAAUGAUGUUAAAAAGAAAGAAAAGAAUGUCAAUGAAACAUUUUUAAAAUAUAAGAGAAUAGAAAGGGAUCUAGAAAGCAGAGUACUCUUGAUAUUAAAUUUAACAUUAUUUUAAAAGCCAAAUGGUACAAAAUAGAGAUUUAAGGGAUUUUUUUCCAGGGGUCAUACUUUGCAACUAUUAUUCAAUUACUGCAUUAGAAAUGCUAACUGUAACAAAACAAUAAGACAAGAAAAAGAAAUUGGCAGAAUAAAAAUAUUCAUUGAGGAAACAAAAUUGUCAUUCUUUGCUGAUUAAAAAAUUGCAAGAUGUAAAAUAAACCCACAAAAAUUUCUAUAUACUAUAUACAAAAUCCAACAGGAAGAGAUAGAGAUAGAAAUUUUAUUUAAAAUAACUGCAGACAGAAAUUAGGCAAGGACCCACACUUAAUACCACAUACCAAGAUAAGAUCAAAAUGGGUCCAUGAUCUAGGCAUAAAGAAUGAGAUUAUAAAUAAAUUAGAGGAACAUAGGAUAGUUUAUCUCUCAGACUUGUGGAGGAGAAAGAAAUUUGUGACCAAAGAUGAACUAGAGACUAUUACCGAUCACAAAAUAGAAAAUUUUGAUUAUAUCAAAUUAAAAAGCCUUUGUACAAACAGAACGAAUGCAAACAAGAUUAGUAGGGAAGCAACAAACUGGGAAAACAUCUUUACAAUUAAAGGUUCUGAUAAAGGCCUCAUUUCCAAAAUAUAUAGAGAACUGACUCAAAUUUAUAAAAAAUCAAGCCAUUCUCCAAUUGAUAAAUGGUCAAAGGAUAUGAACAGACAAUUUUCAGAUGAAGAAAUUGAAACUAUUACCACUCACAUGAAAGAGUGUUCCAAAUCACUAUUGAUCAGAGAAAUGCAAAUUAAGACAACUCUGAGAUAUCACUACACACCUGUCAGAUUGGCUAAGAUGACAGGAAAAAAAUAAUGAUGAAUGUUGGAGGAGAUGCGGGAAAACGGGGACACUGAUGCAUUGUUGGUGGAGUUGUGAACGAAUCCAGCCAUUCUGGAGAGCAAUCUGGAAUUAUGCCCAAAAAGUUAUCAAACUGUGCAUACCCUUGGAUCCAGCAGUGUUUCUAUUGGGCUUAUACCCCAAAGAGAUACUAAAAAAGGGAAAGGGACCUGUAUGUGCCAAAAUGUUUGUGGCAGCCCUGUUUGUAGUGGCUAGAAACUGGAAAAUGAAUGGAUGCCCAUCAAUUGGAGAAUGGCUGGGUAAAUUGUGGUAUAUGAAUGUUAUGGAAUAUUAUUGCUCUGUAAGGAAUGACCAGCAGGAUGAAUACAGAGAGGCUUGGAGAGACCUACGUGGACUGAUGCUAAGUGAGAUGAGCAGAACCAGGAGAUCAUUAUACACUUCGACAACGAUAUUGUAUGAGGAUGUAUUCUGAUGGAAGUGGAUUUCUCUGACAAAGAGACUUAACUGAGUUUCAUUGGAUAAAUGAUGGACAGAAACAGCUACACCCAAAGAAGGAAUACUGGGAAAUGAAUGUGAACUAUUUGAUUUUUGAUUUUCUUCCCGAGUUAUUUUUACCUUCUGAAUCCAAUUCUCCCUGUGCAGCGGGAGAACUGUUCGGUUCUGCAAAUAUGUAUUGUAUCUAGGAUAUACUGCAACAUAUUUAACAUAUAUAGGACUGCUUGCCAUCUUGGGGGGGGGGGAGGAGGGAGGGAGGGGAAAAAACGAAACAUAAGUGAUUGCAAGGGAUAAUGCUGUGUAAAAAUUAUCCUGGCAUGGAUUCUGUCAAUACAAAGUUAUUAUUAAAUAAAAUUAAAUAUAAAAAAAAUAAUAAUAAAAAUAAAAAUAAAAUAAAAUAACUGCAGACAAUAUAAAGUACUUAAGUUUCUGUAGAGCAAGAUAAACCCUAGGGACUGAUGAAUACAGUUAUAAAAUGUUUUUUUCACACAAAUAAAGACUGAUUUAAACAGUUGGGGAAAUAUUAGUUGUUCAAAAGUAAACCACACCAAUUUAAUAAAAAUGACAAUUCUGCCUAAGUUAUUCAGUGCCAUACCAAUCAAAAUUUCAAGGGAUUAUUUUAUAGAGCUAAAAAACAUAGCAGAAUUCAUCUGAAAGAGAAGAUGGUCAAGAAUAUUAAAAAAAAAUAAAAGUGAAGGAAGGUAGCACCAAAUUUUAAAUUAUAUUAUAAAGCAAUAGUCAUGAAAGUGGGAUAGAUUAGGUACAAAAUAUGCGGUAGUAAAUGAUCAAGGUGAUCUGGUGUUUGAUAAAUCCAAAAAUCUAAGCUUUAGUGAUGUAUUUGACAAAAUUUGCUGGGAGAAUUGGAAACCAAUUUGGCGAAACUCGUCAUGCAUCAACAUCUCACACUAUAUGCCAAAAUAAGAUCAAUAAUGUUUUAGACAAUAAAGGAUGUUAUCAUUACUAAAUUAGAAGAACAUGGAAAAGUGUAACUGUCCAAUCUACAAGUUAAGGGAAAUAAGAGGCAAAGAACAUUAUAGGAAUUAAAAUGGAUGAUUUUGAUUACAUAAAAUAUAAAACAUUUUGCACAAACAAAACUAAUACAGACAUAAUUAGAAGGAAAACAAGAAAUUAGGGGAAAAAUUAAUGUAAAUUUCUUUGAAAAAGGCCUUUUUCUCAAAUAUAUAUGGAACUGAACCAGAUCUAUAAAAAAUCUCCUCAAUUGGUAAAUGGUCAAAAGAUAUGAACAGGCAGUUUUCAGCAGAAAACAACAACAAAAGUCACAUGAAAAAAUACUUUAAAUCCCAUCAGAUUAUUGAUUAGAGAAAUACAAAUUAAAACAACUUUGAAAUACCCCCUCAUACCUAUCAGAUUGACUACUUUGGCAUAAAAGAUAAUUGACAUGUUGGAGGGGGUGUAGAAAAAGUAGGACACAUGUACUUUUGGUGGAAUUGUGAAUUAGUCUAACCAUUCUGGAGAACAGUUUAUAGAACUAUGCCUAAAGGAUUAUAAAACUAAAACUAAAAGCGUCACCUUUGACCCAGCAAUACUACUUGAAAGAUUAAAAAAUAGGGAAAAUGGCCUAUUUGCACAAAAAAUAUUUAUAGCAGCUCUUUUUGUAGAGGCAAAGAAUUAGAAAUUGAGAUUCCCUACUAAUUAGGCAAAUUUGUGGCAGAUGAUUGUGAUGGCAUGCUGUUGUAUUUUAAAAAGUGACAAGAAGUACAUUUUGUUUCCUUUCUCAUUUUUUUCUUUUUGAUCUGAUUUUUCUUGUGCAACAUGAUAUUUGUGGAAAUAUGUAUAGAAGGAUUACACAUGUUUAACAUGAUAUUAUUUACUUGCCAUCUAGGGGAAGGGAAGAAAAAUAUUUGGGAACACAAGGUUUUGCAAGAGUAAGUGUUGAAUGUCCAUGCAUAUGUUUUGAAAAUAAAAAGCUUUAACCAAAAAAAAGGUAACUAGAUUGUUUUUUAAAAAAGAAAAAAGAAAAAAGGACAACUUGGCAAGACAUAUAGGAACUGAUGAAGAGUGAAGUGAGUAGAACACAGUAACAGUAAUAUUGUAGGCAUGAUCAGCUGUUAAAGACUUAGCUAUUUUGAUCAAAAUUCAAGACAAUUCCAAAGGACCUGUGAUGAAAAAUAAGAAGCACAGUAGUAUUCCACACAGCCCAUAACACUGAUAAACUAUGUUGUUACUGUCCUAAUAAACUCAAUCAAAAACC